UCUGGCUUACCUUCAAGCAAGGAUGGACGGCUUUCAGCCAAAGAAAACAUGUUCUCUUUUUUGAAAACUUUGUGUUUAUUUUUAGGGGUGUGUGUUAAAAACCUGAGUACAGUGCUUUUGGAGGCAGAGCCUCUGAACUUAGAGGUACAGGGAGUCAUAAGGAGUCAGAGGAAUUUAGGCUGGGAGAACAGGUGUCGUGGUUGAGUAAGAAGAGCCCCCAUAGGCUCAUGUAUCUGCAUGCCUGAUCUAGCUCUGCUUUGAGUGAAAUUUCCUUGCAACUUUGAAAAUCUGUAUAUGGGCCUUUAUUCCUUGAAUAAGAAUCCAAGAACCAGAAAACACCAACACUGACCUUGCUCACCUGACACUGAAAAAAUGAUGGUAGGGGCUGGAGAGAUGGCUCAGUGGUUAAGAGCACUGGCUGCUCUUCCAGAGGUCCUGAGUUCAAUUCCCAGCAACCACAUGGUGGCUCACAACCAUCUGUAAUGGGACCCAAUGCCCUCUUCUGGUGUGUCUGAAGACAGCUAGAGUGUACUCAUAUAAAUAAAUGUAAAAGAGGGGUUGGGGAUUUAGCUCAGUGGUAGAGCGCUUGCCUAGCAAGUGCAAGGCCCUGGGUUCGGUCCCCAGCUCUGAAAAAAAAGAAAAGAAAAAAAAUAAAUGUAAAAGAAAAAACAAUGAAGGUAAGUUUAUAGUCAGAUUUUUUUCCCUCUUAAAAAUAAAUUUAUUAAUGUGUGUGAAUGAAUAGACAUGUCACAGGUGUGCAGGUACCCAGAGUCCAGCAGAGGGAGUCAGAGCCUCUGGAACUGGAAAUACAGGCAGUUGUGAGCCACCAACCUACGGACCACUCAGCUCCUCAAAGGAGUCAUCCCUGAGCACUGGAUUUUCUUCAGCACCCACACAGUAGUUCCCAACCAUCUGAAACCCUUGUCUCAGCAGAUCCAACACCUCACCACUGACCUUGAAGCUGAAACAAAAUCCCAAAUUAUUAUUUUUACAGUCUCGUUGUGCUGGCCCAAACUCAAGAGAUCCACCUCUGUCUCCCGAGUGCUGGGAGUAAAGGUGAGUGCCACCACUGCUCGGCUUCCAAAUGACGGACUUUUAAAUGAAUGGACUCAAAACAACAACAACAACAACACAGUCCUCAGGGUGGUUGGCUGGCAGAGUGCCGACUUAGCGUUCACGACCUGGGUUCUGCCAGACCACAUAAACACAUGCGGCAAUGCUUGCCUAUAACUUCAGCACUCAGGAGGUAGAGACAGGAAGGUAAGGAGGUCAAGGUCUGCCUCUCACAGUUUGAGGUUAGCCAGAACUAAGGGAAGGGAGGAAACAGGCAGGUGGAGAGAUGCUCAGGGGUUAAGGACAUGAACUUGCUUGCCCUUGCAGAGGAUCUGAGUAAAGCUCCGGCAGUCUUACAGUUGCUCGUACCUCCAACCCUCGUGUGGCCUCUUUGGGGACCCACACUCAUAUCCACAUAAUUAAGAAUAAAUCUUAGAAAAAACAGUCUUCGGAUGAAGACCGGUCAUGUUCCUCUCCCUUGGGACAUAUUUAUUGUAAGUGUUUUUCAGCUACAGCACUAACAGGAGAAUCUGCAACACCUGAGGGCAGAACCCAACAACCAGGAGCCUCUUGCCCCGUGCACAAGCGGGGCCUCAGCUACCCUAGUUAUGUCUGAAGAGCUUCAGGCCCAUCCAAGUCCACAGGUGGAAGAACACGUACACCGGUACGGUGACCGGCAGAAGCAAACUGUAGAAGCACAGGCUGCUGGCGCUGGUACAGCCCUCUGGGAAGUUUUCUUCCACAGAGGCGGAGUAGAACAGGCCCGCCAGGGAGAUGAGCGGGAUGAGGACAGUCAGGGUGGGCAGAGACAGGAUCAUCCUCCUCCCUUCUGAAGGUAUACAGUUCAAGAAAACUCGGUUGUUUUCAAAGUUAUGUUCUUGUGCUGGUGCACUCCUGUCUUAUCUUCCCUUUCUCUGGACUCCUCUUUCAUCCAGGCAUGCUUCCCAAGAGCACACAAAAACUUCAGCGGUCCCAGGCUGAGGGUGACGGCUCCUCAGCCUCGUUCUGAUCCAAUCCACCACCACACGAAGCGGUUACCAGCGACUGCAGACAACACACGUGUCCCUCGCAGCGCUGGCUAAAGGAUUCCUUACUGUAUGAGAAAAGUGCAAGAUGACAAGAUGAGGGGAAGGGAAAGGAAAAGAAGGGGAAACAGCCUGUACAGUACUGAGCAGGUUAAAGGCAGGAGGAUUGCUGUCACUUGCAGUCUGGCCUCAAACAUUGGGAUCCUCUUGCAUCAGUCUUCCCAAGCCACCACGCCCGACUAGAAAACAAACCUUCAAAACACUCAAGUGUCAUCCAUUUCUUUGGGAACUAAGAAAUUCGAAAAGCAGAAUGAAGGACAGGUGGACUGAUAGUGUUUUCUCGAACCGAGGAAGCGGAAUGAGACCUACAAAUCCAGAUUCACUUCAGACACCUGAGUGGAGGCUUCCCGUACGACGAGGACCGGCUGGGGACCAGCACCGGAACCCGGAGCCUCGUCACGAGCCGCCCGUCGUCAAUGCACAGAGUGAAGACAGCGCCAGCCCUGGGCCCAGUCGCCUCGGGGACGCGAAGGGGCACCCGGGUCCCGCUGCAGUCUCUGGCUGACCGAGGGUAGCGAUGGCCGGGUCGGAGAGAACCGAGCCAAGCCGGAGAGAACCGAGCCAAGCCGGAGAGAACCGGACCAAGCCGAACAGGGCAGAGGAGAACCCGGCCGAAUCGAAAGUGAACCAGCCAGCCAAGCGGAACCGGAGGCGUCCGUGGCGCAGACGCCUUGCUAGCGCGAGUCCUGUCCCAGCCGGUUCCAACAGCUCCUCCGCCCGUAUCGGAUCUCGAGACCCUGAACUCACCAUUCACUGGCCUGUAAAUGUCCGGGUCCCGGCUGCGCCUGGCUGUGACCGUCACCGCUCUACGAAGGCGGAGCACCCGGGCCAGCCGCCCAAUCAAAUCCCUGAGGGGGCGGGGUAAGAAACCCAGAUCCCGCGAGGGAGCCGAUCCGCGCGUGCUCAUUGGACAGCGCA
rnacentral:lncRNA from 1 species